UAAGCGAAGUUUGCUGUAUCUUGAAUCCAUGCAAUACAUAUAUAAUAUUUGUGCAACGAUCCGUGAGUAAUUCAAUACUUAAAAUAUGUCUGGAAGUAUGAAGUACUGAGGAAUUACAUGUGAAGAUAAGAUGUUACAGAUAAGUAUUUUCUGCCUAUGAAAAAUAGACUUAAAAGGAAUGGACACAAUACUUUGUGGUCUUUUUGACUUAUCUCUUGCAGGUGGUAUAAUUAGGUGAUAUAAUUAGUGUUAAACAGUUAUCUACUUCAACAUUAUGAAGAUGGAAAACUAUAUUUUGAAAAUUAUGAGAUGAUUGUUUUUUGUACCCAGACUUUUCCUGCGAAAGGAGCAGAUUUAUUUGUGUAUGUGCACAAUCAUUGUACGUGCAAUAUUGACUAUCGAAACAACUACUUAUAUCGUUGUAACAGUUGUAAUCUACCAAAGUAUAUAGCUGCUUUAUAUGUGGAUGGUAACAAUAUUAGCAUAACUAUUAAACAUAAUCAAUGUGGACAAAGAUAUCUUACAUCAUACAUGGUAUUUAAUGAUACAAGAAAUGAGUGGGUUCAAUCUGGAUACAUUAAUGUCAUUAAAACAAAUAUUUGAUGAUGUUUCUGGAAAAUUUCCAGAGGUUGCAGCUUAAUGUUCUUUUAACAACUUAAGAUCAGUAUUACUAGAAAGAUAAGCUGGUGUAACAAGCCAUAAAUUGUGCAAUUGUUGGAUAUUUUGUACAAGCGAUUACAAACGAACCAGUCUCUAGAAUAUAUAAAAAUACAUUAUACAGGUCAGUAAUAGAGGAAGAUGCAAUAAUAUUGUCGACUGAUAUUUUAUUAAAAGAUUUUUAUGCAAAGGUAAGGAAUUGUUCCUUGAUGUUAUGUAGCAUAUGGCAUAAUAUUACUCCUAAUAUUGUUGUACAUAUGUCAUAACAAUGUCUUUGCUUCUACUAUCUGAGACGAAAUUUCAGGAAGGAUUAUUAAUUAUAGAAAAAGAGGCAAAUAUUGUAUAAAACAAUUUUUCUAAUAUUCAAAAACCAAUGUUUCGAAACCAAAGUCGAGUUCAAUAGCAAGCCAACUGCCAUUAAAGAAAGAAACCUGCUAUGUGUGUGUGAGCGAUUUACACACGCUCCCCAGUAUGAAGAAAGACUAAGGAAGUAAAAAUCAAAACCGCGUAUGCUUGCUUGUUCCGAGGCUUCAGAAACACGCAGGGGUAUGAAAACACAAGGCUCGCUUUCUCGGCGAUCAUGUUUCCUUUAUUUAUUUACAUCAGAUUUACUUGUUACUUGAACUACUUAGGUGCUGCGUACUGUCCGCCAAAAAUAGCAAAUUGCUCAAAAUAGAAAUACGUUUGAUUUUUUGUUGCAAGCUGUCGAGUUCCUUUCACCUCACUUUUUUUAAAUUUCUCAGUUUCAGUCCGCAAAGUCUUGCAGUAUGCAAAUUUUUUUUUUUAUUUAUUUCCUAAUAUUCACAAUUUGUCUAAUUUGGACAUUAGGUCGAAUAUUUUAGCAGUUAUAUUAACAUGUAGGUGGCUACCCCCACGGGGGUACCAUCCUCGCAUUUGCUAGAUUAUAUUCUUUGUGAGGUCUGCUGGGUGCUUCCUUUUUAGCCUUCCAGUAUGCAAUUGUCAAUCUUCGUAAUCAGCAUUAACAUCUUGUGAACAACCUUUCUACUUUCGGUGCAUCAAUGCUUUAUUUCCGCUUUUUAUUAAAUUAAUCACUUUUGUCACUAUUUUCAUUGUUGUAUUAUUGUUGUAUAUUAUUAUUGUAUUAGUAUUGUUGUAUUUAAUAUUAACGUUUUCCCACAUAACGCUUUCCACUAGCUUGCUUGUCUCGCUGUUGAUACAUUCGGAUAGACUGCAGAUUAUAUAGGAGAGGAAAUAGAUGUCUUAAUUUUAUUAAAAGUUGGAACAAGGUAUUAGUACUUAGGUAUUAGUACGUUGUGUGCGGAACGUGCAUUGAGAAGAAACAUCUGAAAAGGUAAUGGUUCGCUCGUCGCAUCAUCCGGCGAUUUUUUUUAGCUGUAUGUGCAUUGCAUCCGUUGGUCUACUUUCUGCAUAUAAUUUGUUGAUGUUUUGAAUGCAAUUGCUGUCUGCCAACAUAAAUUAUAUUAUUAAAUUAACUGUCGGAAGACGUAGAAUAUAUAAAAUGGGCGGUAUUCUACGCAAACGUUGAACAUCCUACUUACUCGUUCGCAUACACGAGCGGGUUAGAAGUCACCGAAUUCUUCUCAAACGACCCGUCUGUCCUCCUCGAGAAUCCUAACAUGUACAUUUUCCUUCACGACUCUCUUCUCGCAUGAUAAAAUCUCAUUCCAAUUCUCAUACCAACGACCGGCUAUAGUGACUGACUGCUUCUGAAAUAUUUUGUUACUUGAAGUAUAAUGAAACGAUUAAAUCCCCUUCAAAACUGAAUAUAAAAUACAAGUAAGCUGAAUGUGCUUUUAACAAAAAUAGGGCCAGAGGCAAUUGUUGGUAAUGGGAUAACGAAUUUUCCUUUCUUUGUCCCUUCUAAGAUAACUUGAAAGCACGAUCUCACUAGAUUUCAGCUCACUUUGAAAGAGAUUUACGCGCGUUUCCUCUCUUAUUUGAACUGCCUUUUUGUCGAAGAAUUAGACUAAUGAAGUGAUAAUUUGUUUCGUAUAGUAUUUUUGGAAAUUAUCUCUCAUCAAGUAACGGCCAAUUAUUAUGAAGAAUAUCUUGUCAUUGUUUUUUACACUCGUUUAUCUAGUACGUUGCAAAAAAUUGUCUCUAUUGAUGUAUAAUCACCGCGUAAGUUUUUUUUUUUGAGACAUAAACAUAAUGUAUCCUGAUACGAUGGUUAUAUAUCUAUUUGUUUUAAUUUUCUUAUCAAGUAUCGUGAUUCGAAACUUAAUGAUACGUUAUUAAUUACAAACAGAGGUUUCUGAAAUUUAGUUCUAGUAUUACUUUUACUAGGAUGAGAAAAUACCAUUAUAGUAAUUCUAUUGUAUUUCUUGCAAAAAAAUAUUUAAUUGUAUAGAUUUAAUUUAAUUUAAUUAUUUUCAAUUGGAAAAUUUUGAUUCUAAAUAUUCUUUCUGAACGAUUCUGAAUAUUCCUCUUUUAAACUUUCAUAAUUUUCUUUUAAUAUGUUUAAAAAGUUCUUCACAGCUAUAUCGUAUAUUAGUUUUUACUUUCAUGACAGCUGACAAUAUAAUUAAUUGUUAAGUUCAUUGUUGCAGACUAUUUCCGAGCAGACCAAUAAACGUCGAUCAACGAAAAAAAACUUUUUCUACAUCUGUAUUUGUUUCAGAAAGGCUCAUUAAAAGUUCGAUAAUUAUUCUUGUAUCUUUUAAAGGAAUAGGUUGACUUUCAAAAUACUAAAUUUAUUACAUACAAUUGAUAAUGAUAUUCUAAUGAUAAUUCUAAUAAUAAUUCUUCCUAAGUAAUACUAAAUGCAGGACAUAAUCAGUGCAUAAACUUUGCAGUACAAUUGUCGAGAAAGCAGUACCGUACUGCAAAAUGGGGUACGGAUGGUCACCUCGUUUAAAGGGAAUAUUUCACGCUAAAAAAGCAAAACCUUGUCAAUUGAUUUAAAAUGUGAUUUUGAACAAAUAGUGCCAACUUUAACAUUUGAACAUUAUAGAUUUAUAUGUACGUAUUGUUAUACAUGACUGCGCAAGGAUCGCGCGCAGGUUCCAUGUUGUAUCUAGGAUUGUAGCCAAUCAACAAGCAAAACUAACGCUAUAAUAACAGAAGACCGGUUCGUACAUUCGCCUUUUCGGUUCGGAUGUGGUAAGAUGUAUAUCGUGUAGAAGAUAUAAUUUUGUACCUGCCACGCGUAUAUCAGUUAGUAAUAAAUACUAAGUGAAGAAUUACGCAUUUAAUUUGUUACAUUUUCAUUAAGCACAAAUACGAAAAGAUGUAAAAUCGUUCAUUGCUUUAUUCAAGAGCUUCCGAAGUCUUUGGGUCUCCAGAAACAUGCGGAUUUAAAACGAGUCAAGCAAAUCUAUUCCUCUGUAAGGCAUAUCGUUAUAUAUCUAAUUUUAUGCUGAAAUGGUAGUUGCAGCGUGAUGAGAAUGGUUAUGGACGCUUAGGAUGUCUGAUCAACAUCGAUGACUGGCCAAAGGAAGGAACAUCCACGAAACUGUUGGGCUGUCAGCACCACUAGGACAAUCUCCCCUGGACUUGGAAGCACACCGGUUGGAAAUAAGUCAUGUCGAUCCGCAUACUACUCUCGCGUACUAAGACUGAUAUCUCGCGACCAUGCUAAUUGUACAAUGUUUAUAAGUAGCCAGUAAUGAAUUAUAAUGAUACAGUGUUAUAAUUUGCGUACGUAUGUCGAUGCUAUUGUUUUAGGAUUGUAACCAAUUUUAUAACAGCAUUGAUAAAGAUAAAUGCAAUGCAAGUAGUAUUUGCUUAAUUGUAAA
rnacentral:lncRNA from 1 species